UGUUCUGGCCUGCCACAGUGUGUGAGACUAGCGCUCGCUGCAACCAGAAAACGUCCCCUGGCAGAGAUCAGCAAUCAGAAGUCACUGGACCUCUUCAAUAAGGACAGAGAAAUACAGCUGUAAAAGUGAGCAGGACUUGAAGAGCUCAGUUACUGAGUACAACGUACGUACACUGGUACCUGUUUUUGCUAACUGAAAGAAAUCGAAGAGGAUUUUGACGUUUAUGAAAAGAGGCAAAAAGUGCAAAUAACAUUCAGCAUGUGUUUGACAGCGAGCCGAGCUGUUACAGAAGCCGUGCACACUCUGAACAGCGAGUGGUACCAACAAGCUUCUUCCUGAGAACUACGCUGAGCAUCUCAGCUUAAGCCACCAUGACUUUGACCUGUGUCUGUAGGCAUUUGUGCUUUAUCUCGAUUUAUUUGUGCACCCAUUAGCAAGAUGUGUCUUAAAGUAUCAGCAAAGCCUCAGAGAGGUUAUUUUGAGGGUCUGGGAAUGCUCAAAAUUUUCCCAAUGGAUUAAUGGUAAUUGCUUCUUUGCUUGACUCCACUUGGGGUUACAAAACUUUACAUAGAUACACUCUACUUUCAGAUUGCAGGGGAAGCCUGUACUUGUAAGUAUUUCUUUUCAGGAUAAACUGCUCUAUGAGAGCCAAAGACUAAAUUUUUAUAUUUUUAAUAUUCUUUAGUUAUUAUUUUGCUUUACAUGAUAUCCAGCAAUUAUUUUAUAACAGAAUUAACCAAAUAUCAAAAGAAUUUCAAUGUGUGACUAGUACAGAGAAAACCAGUACAUUUUUUAAAAAUGAUCUGCCUAAGCAUAGGCAGAAGUAAUAGCAAUUCUCUUUUUAGCAGUAUCACAGAUAAUGCAAAAUAUAAUUUGUUUUCUUUUUAUAUUAUAGAUUUACAUGUAGUUGUGAGAAAUAAUUAACAAAUUCACAUACCCUUUACUCAGUUUCCCUCAGUGAUAACAUCUUGAAAAACAAUAGUACAAUAUCACAAGCAGGACAUUGGCAUUGAUAUAGUCAAGAUACAAAACAGAUUCAGCAACACCAGGAUCCCUCCAGGUGACCUUUUGUAGCCACACAUAUUUCCUAACCACUCAGUCCCUGCACCUGGCUCCCAACCUCUGCCAACCAUUAAUCUGUUCUCCAUUUCUAUACUUGUUUAAAUUUCAAGAAUGUUAUGUAAACAGGGUCAUACAAUAUACAACAUUGGGGGUUGGCUUUUUUCAUUCAGCUCAAGUGUCUGGAAAUUUAUCUAAGUUUUUGUGUGGAUCAGUAGUUUGUUGCUUUUAAUUACUGAGUGAUUGGUAUUCUGAAAAAUACAUUUGUUAAGUUCUAAACACACCUUACUAGGAAUGCUGCUUUACCUAGGGGA